rnacentral:rRNA from 1 species
AACGAACGCUGGCGGCAUGCCUAACACAUGCAAGUCGAACGAGACCUUCGGGUCUAGUGGCGCACGGGUGCGUAACGCGUGGGAACCUGCCCUUAGGUUCGGAAUAACUCCCCGAAAGGGGUGCUAAUACCGGAUAAUGUCUUCGGACCAAAGAUUUAUCGCCUUUGGAUGUGCCCGCGUUGGAUUAGCUAGUUGGUAGGGUAAAAGCCUACCAAGGCGACGAUCCAUAGCUGGUCUGAGAGGAUGAUCAGCCACACUGGGACUGAGACACGGCCCAGACUCCUACGGGAAGCAGCAGUGGGGAAUAGUGGAAAAUGGGCGAAAGCCUGAUCCAGCAAUGCCGCGUGAGUGAUGAAGGCAUUAGGGUUGUAAAGCUCUUUUACCCGGGAUGAUAAUGACAGUACCGGGAGAAUAAGCUCCGGCUAACUACGUG